UACGUAGGCAGCAAGCGUUGUUCGGAGUUACUGGGCGUAAAGGGUGUGUAGGCGGUUUUUUAAGUUUGGUGUGAAAUCUCCCGGCUCAACUGGGAGGGUGCGCCGAAUACUGAAAGACUAGAGUGCGGGAGAGGAAAGUGGAAUUCCUGGUGUAGCGGUGAAAUGCGUAGAUAUCAGGAGGAACACCGGUGGUGUAGACGGCUUUCUGGACCGUAACUGACGCUGAGACACGAAAGCCGUGGGUAGCAAACAGG
rnacentral:rRNA from 1 species